rnacentral:lncRNA from 1 species
UACCGUAGUCUACAGUUGCUUGCACCUGCUGACACCCUGUGUCUCAGUGUAAUUGUAAUGUGUUUCUAUCAUGCUUGUAGCUAAAUUAAUGUUUGCCUUUCUCAGUGUUUGUUUACGUUCAUCAUUUCCACUUACUUAAUGAACCACAACUCCCUUUUAUGUAGCAACUCUGUGUUGGUGAAUUUUUACGAUUCACCAAAGCAUAAUAGGAAUGUUGUAAAGAAAAGACUGUAUUUCCGGCAUUGCGCUGUCGUUGAUAUGAUAUGAUGAUAUGUGGGGUUUGACGUCCCUAAACCACCAUAUGAUUAUGAGAGACGCCGUAGUGGAAGGCCCAUGAAAUUCGACCACCUGGGGUUCUUUAACGUGCACCCAAAUCUGAGCAGAUCGCAUUGUUGUGGUCAGUGCUUUUGUGUCAACAGGGUGCUGCAGUAGAACAAUAUUUAAGUGUCAUAUCAGGCUUUGAAUGUGCAAGUGUGAAAUGCAUUGCCACAGAAUAUUCAAUCUUGUUACAUGCCAUCAAGCAAUCCUUAUAAUGUGCAAGUUAAUAUUUGCUAUUGUAAAUAUAACUGGAUUUCACUAUGGCCUCUCUUUCUAUACUGUUCUUGUCAGGUUAUGAUUCCUGCUUGAGGUUGAGCUGCACACUUUGUGUUGCACAAGUUAUAGUACUUGUAGUAAAGUCAGCACUUACCUUCAGCAGAGCCACUAGAAUGAUGGCAUUUCAAAAAAAUAAGAAGAAGAAUGCUUUGAGAAAUUUGUUUCUGUCACCAUUUCUUAUUUUACCUGAAAAGUUGCACUAAAAUGAACAUUAUUCGUUUAGUAUGGCACGUUAGUCCUUUAAAAAACACUUUCACUAAUAAAUGGGUUUCUUAUCUUAAUGGGGAACUGUAGUCAGCAUUUCCCCUUAUUUUUGUACCAACACCCCUGCAUCACUAUGUCAGUGCAACAUCACGCAUUUCAAAGCACAUUUUCUUAUUUUGGCACAUUUGACAUAAUAAAAGUUUCUAAAACUCGCCAUACUAAUUUUUGACUUUGUCAAAACUGAAUGUAAGUAAUAUUAAUGAUAACAAACUCUUCAGUAGGCGCCAAUAAACUUUAUGGAGUCGGGACAGUAUGAUACAGCAUCGUCACCAGCCAUAUUUUUUUCACAUGACCUUUUAAGCUUGCCAAUAUCAUUCUUGCGGCUGGAGGGGUGUUUUUGAUAUUGUGGUAAGGUGAUUAACUGAUACAAGUCACUUCUCACUUUAGUGUCUCUGAAAUUGGCCUUCAUCUUUUGCUUUUUUCUUAUUUUUUUUAAAUCUCGCAUUCAUUGUCUGUUGCUGUGCAUGUGUUUUACACAGGGAAUGCAGGCGUAGGCGUAGUCAAUCAAGCCUUGCCCAAGCAAGAAUUUCCAUUUUACAGCGUCCCUUCCAUCAACUACUUCUUGACCGGUGCCACCAACGGGCAGUCCUUGUCAUCAUCGACAAUCUUGAAUUCCACUCCUGUCACAGACGUCCUAGUUGUGGCCACGCGACAGGUGUCAACCACUCCAGCACAACCACCGAAGGAAUUCGCCUGCACCAUCUGUGGCCGAAAGUUUAACCUCAAGUGUAAUCUGAACAGACACCAUCUUGUACACACAGGCGUGCGCAAUUACGGCUGCGAGGUGUGCGGACAGCGAUUUGUGUUGCGACAGCACCUCAAGAAGCACCUCGAGAGACACGCCAAGGAGUGCACCUCGUGAGCACCUUUUUGCCUGCUCUCUCGCAUAGUGCUUCACAGUCGGGCCAUGCCUUUUCACUCCUCUGCCCUUCCUUGCCCUCUGACAUUGUGUCUUGGGGCACAGAGUGUGUUUGUUUUUGUAACUACAAUCAUUUACUUUUGAAAAUCCACAAUCUGGAAGAUAUUGAUUACAUCCACGAUGUUACACAGCCACUGGUUAAUCAGAGAUGUAAUGUAAACAUGUAUUGCAUGAUGGGCAGGAAAUUAAGUGAAAUGAAUUGUUAGGUACUUUUGCUUCAUCCUCCUUACUGCUGUUACUUAGCUUUUUUUGAACAAAAUGCACUUCAUAUCACUUGAAACCACCUUUUGAGCAACUAUUUGGAAUUUUCGGUCCGGUUGUGUAUAUACUUUCCAUUGUCUUCUGAAUGAAUAAGGCACACGAGAAACACACUCCGGUAGCCUUCUUGUCAACCUUCUGAAAGGUUCUCUGAAAUCGUGCCAUUUUCUUUUCAAGCAUUUAUGACUUUCCAUCAUGUUGGUUAUAGUAUACAGAAACUGCCCACGAUGGAUGGAGCACUCUAAUGUAGUGUCGUUGCAGCCACCAAGUUGACUACAGCCAAUUCAGAUUACAAAAUCUAUUGUAUUGUUCCUGUCUGUUUCAGCAGCUACUGCUUCCCUUUUGCGUUGAAGAGUGGCAGCCACCUCGACUGUAGUUGACAUGGAAGUAGCAGAUGCUACACAGUGACUACACAAAUUUAUUAAAGGCGAUAUCACAAGCAGUCUUUGUUCACACUAGUG